rnacentral:rRNA from 1 species
GAUGAACGCUGGCGGCGUGCCUAAUACAUGCAAGUCGAGCGAAUGGAUUAAGAGCUUGCUCUUAUGAAGUUAGCGGCGGACGGGUGAGUAACACGUGGGUAACCUGCCCAUAAGACUGGGAUAACUCCGGGAAACCGGGGCUAAUACCGGAUAAUAUUUUGAACUGCAUGGUUCAAAAUUGAAAGGCGGCUUCGGAUGUCACUUAUGGAGGGACCCGCGUCGCAUUAGCUAGUUGGUGAGGUAACGGCUCACCAAGGCAACGAUGCGUAGCCGACCUGAGAGGGUGAUCGGCCACACUGGGACUGAGACACGGCCCAGACUCCGACGGGAGGCAGCAGUAGGGAAUCUUCCGCAAUGGACGAAAGUCUGACGGAGCAACGCCGCGUGAGUGAUGAAGGCUUUCGGGUCGUAAAACUCUGUUGUUAGGGAAGAACAAGUGCUAGUUGAAUAAGCUGGCACCUUGACGGUACCUAACCAGAAAGCCACGGCUAACUACGUGCCAGCCGCCGCCGUAA